rnacentral:tRNA from 1 species
GGAUUGUGGCUCAGUGGGAGUGUACUUGUCUUACAUGCAUGGGGCACUGGGUUCGAUCCUCAGCACCA